rnacentral:rRNA from 1 species
CUUCUUUGCUGACGAGUGGCGGACGGGUGAGUAAUGUCUGGGAAACUGCCUGAUGGAGGGGGAUAACUACUGGAAACGGUAGCUAAUACCGCAUAACGUCGCAAGACCAAAGAGGGGGACCUUCGGGCCUCUUGCCAUCGGAUGUGCCCAGAUGGGAUUAGCUUGUUGGUGGGGUAACGGCUCACCAAGGCGACGAUCCCUAGCUGGUCUGAGAGGAUGACCAGCCACACUGGAACUGAGACACGGUCCAGACUCCUACGGGAGGCAGCAGUGGGGAAUAUUGCACAAUGGGCGCAAGCCUGAUGCAGCCAUGCCGCGUGUAUGAAGAAGGCCUUCGGGUUGUAAAGUACUUUCAGCGGGGAGGAAGGGAGUAAAGUUAAUACCUUUACUCAUUGACGUUACCCGCAGAAGAAGCACCGGCUAACUCCGUGCCAGCAGCCGCGGUAAUACGGAGGGUGCAAGCGUAAUCGGAAUUACUGGGCGUAAAGCGCACGCAGGCGGUUUGUUAAGUCAGAUGUGAAAUCCCCCGG